rnacentral:misc_RNA from 1 species
AGGGAGGCUUGGCACGUGAAGGGAGCUUGGAUUGUGACAGCUAUAUUGUGAAGCGAAGUGACCCAACUGAUGAAUGGGUCAGGCAAUUGUUAGAUUUUGAGAACAACCAUUGCUUUUGCAAAAGGACUGUUUGUUUAAGAAUAAGGUUGUUUUGUAUUGCAUGUUAUUUUUCUGUAGAACUUGCUUCCACCAUGGCAUUCAUUUUUCUGAUAAUAGCCAUAAAAUAAUCACUCAUUA